GUGCUCGCUUCGGCAGCCCAUAUACUAAAAUUGGAACGAUACAGAGAUUAGCAUGGCCCCUGCACAAGGAUGACAUGCAAAUUCAUGAAGCAUUCCAUAUUUUU